rnacentral:rRNA from 1 species
GGGUUGUGAGGUUAAGCGACCAAGCGUACACGGUGGAUGCCCUGGCAGUCAGAGGCGAUGAAGGACGUGCUAAUCUGCGAAAAGCGCCGGUAAGGUGAUAUGAACCGUUAUAACCGGCGAUGUCCGAAUGGGGAAACCCAGUGUGACUCGUCACACUAUCAUUAACUGAAUCCAUAGGUUAAUGAGGCGAACCGGGGGAACUGAAACAUCUAAGUACCCCGAGGAAAAGAAAUCAACCGAGAUUCCCCCAGUAGCGGCGAGCGAACGGGGAGGAGCCCAGAGCCUGAAUCAGCAUGUGUGUUAGUGGAAGCGUCUGGAAAGGCGCGCGAUACAGGGUGAGAGCCCCGUACACAAAAGCGCACAUGCUGUGAGCUCGAUGAGUAGGGCGGGACACGUGGUAUCCUGUCUGAAUAUGGGGGGACCAUCCUCCAAGGCUAAAUACUCCUGACUGACCGAUAGUGAACCAGUACCGUGAGGGAAAGGCGAAAAGAACCCCGGCGAGGGGAGUGAAACAGAACCUGAAACCGUGUACGUACAAGCAGUGGGAGCCC